AACCCCGGGCAACGUUUCACGUUGCUCAUAAAUUAACCGGGGUUAACGAUUAAUCCUGGCUGGGUGUUCAUAAACUGGUGUUUCACACUGUACAUUCCUAAACCAUGGGUUCUUAUUUGCAUAUUUACGGUGUCAGUGUUAUUUGAUUGGAUGAACGCAGCACGCGCAGCUCUAGCAUUACCGACUGUACUAGCAAGAAUGGACAUUUCGGACUAUAAAAGGCGGAUGAAGAACUGGUCAUGUAGCCUACCCGUGUUCCACUGCCAUGGAUGAUGUCCUCUGGAGUCUCAUAUAUCUGACUUUCCAUCUGCACAGUUUGUUUCUUCUCAUGAGACACUUUCACCCGCAGAAUACGGAAAUUAGAGCCGCCCAGAUCCAAGGCAAUGAAAUCUCCUUUUUCUGUUGGAUAAGGUGUCUGAGAGUGUGAAGAUUCGUAAUACUGUAAAUUCAGCAUCAAAAAAGUGUUUCACCUCCUCUCCUGUGCCCUGCAUGAUCUCCAGUGGGAUGGCAUAAAUCUUGUUGUACAUCCGGACUGAAUUCCGCAUACCAGUACGAAUCUUAACCACCAACACACGGAAAUUGGUUCCACCAAGAUCCAAGGCAAGGUCAUCAUGGCCCCCACCGUGUCAUUGACCAUAGCCAGGACAUCCACGUCAAGAUCCUUCACACACACAACAGAAAAUGGAGACUAUGGAUUCUUAAGAGGCAGCCACACUACACUUUUCAUUCCAUUGACUUCCAUUUUUACGCAUGUGAAUGCGGAAGACAGGAAAUGCAAGCUCAAGUGAAGAAGAUGUAUAUAUUGCAUGUACUGCAUAUAUUGACCUCUGAUGUAUCAGAGGUCAAUAUAUGCAGAUUAUAAAGUGUUUUAGGUUCUUCUCAACAUGCACUUACAUGAUGUACUAUAUACCAAAUAUAAUGCUGUUUGAACCAUUUAUGUUAAAUAUGCUCUAAAAAUUCUACAGAAAUGUUUGGAAAUAUGAGUCUGGAAAAGUAUGGAAUUUUAAAAUAUGAAAAAUUUGUAGGUGAACUCAGGUGCAGUCACAAUUACCGUUGCUCUGCAAAUUUUUAUGGGCAAAAUCCAUUUUUUUAAUAGGAAUUCACGUGAUCUGGAAUUUCAUGUCAGGGUGAAAACAUUCCACAUGCAGAUUUCGCAACAGCUUCAAGCAUCACAUGAAUUUGCAAUGUUGUCAAAUGGAAAGCUGCUUGGUUUGAAAGUUGCUACACUAUUGAUAAUAGACAAUGGAAGUUUUUUGCCUGUGAAAUUUUGCUAAUGUGACCGUAUCAUUAAGAACUCAAUUGCAAGUAGAAGUCAUGAACAUGAAUCACCAAUACCAGCUGACUACUGUGUUAUGACUUCUACUUGGAGUAGCACCAGUUGGUUUCUACUUUAUUUUGUU